rnacentral:miRNA from 1 species
AACUGAGAAUGCCAUUGGUG